GAGUUUGAUCAUGGCUCAGGAUGAACGCUGGCGGUGUGCCUAAUACAUGCAAGUCGAGCGAACAGACGAGGAGCUUGCUCCUCUGACGUUAGCGGCGGACGGGUGAGUAACACGUGGAUAACCUACCUAUAAGACUGGGAUAACUUCGGGAAACCGGAGCUAAUACCGGAUAAUAUAUUGAACCGCAUGGUUCAAUAGUGAAAGACGGUUUUGCUGUCACUUAUAGAUGGAUCCGCGCCGCAUUAGCUAGUUGGUAAGGUAACGGCUUACCAAGGCAACGAUGCGUAGCCGACCUGAGAGGGUGAUCGGCCACACUGGAACUGAGACACGGUCCAGACUCCUACGGGAGGCAGCAGUAGGGAAUCUUCCGCAAUGGGCGAAAGCCUGACGGAGCAACGCCGCGUGAGUGAUGAAGGUCUUCGGAUCGUAAAACUCUGUUAUUAGGGAAGAACAAAUGUGUAAGUAACUAUGCACGUCUUGACGGUACCUAAUCAGAAAGCCACGGCUAACUACGUGCCAGCAGCCGCG
rnacentral:rRNA from 1 species